rnacentral:rRNA from 1 species
UACGGAGGAUCCAAGCGUUAUCCGGAGUUACUGGGCGUAAAGCGUGCGCAGGCGGUUUUGUAAGUCAGAUGUGAAAUCCCCGGGCUUAACCUGGGAACUGCGUUUGAAACUACAAGGCUAGAGUGUGGCAGAGGGGGGUGGAAUUCCACGUGUAGCAGUGAAAUGCGUAGAGAUGUGGAGGAACACCGAUGGCGAAGGCAGCCCCCUGGGUUAACACUGACGCUCAGGCACGAAAGCGUGGGGAGCAAACAGG